GUCUACGGCCACACCACCCUGAACAUGCCCAGUCUUAUCUGAUCUCGGAAGCUAAGGAGGGUCAGGCCUGGUUAGCACUUGGAUGGGAGAGACAUAUGAAAGAAUGAUGGGACUUUGUCGACA
ensembl:rRNA 5S_rRNA 5S ribosomal RNA